rnacentral:rRNA from 1 species
GAUGAACGCUAGCUACAGGCUUAACACAUGCAAGUCGAGGGGAAACGACAUCGAAAGCUUGCUUUUGAUGGGCGUCGACCGGCGCACGGGUGAGUAACGCGUAUCCAACCUGCCCAUCACUUGGGAAUAACCUUGCGAAAGUAAGACUAAUACCCAAUGACAUCCCACGAAGACAUCUGAAUGGGAUUAAAGAUUUAUCGGUGAUGGAUGGGGAUGCGUCUGAUUAGCUUGUUGGCGGGGUAACGGCCCACCAAGGCAACGAUCAGUAGGGGUUCUGAGAGGCAGGUCCCCCACAUUGGAACUGAGACACGGUCCAAACUCCUACGGGAGGCAGCAGUGAGGAAUAUUGGUCAAUGGGCGAGAGCCUGAACCAGCCAAGUAGCGUGCAGGAGGACGGCCCUAUGGGUUGUAAACUGCUUUUAUAAGGGAAUAGAGUGGGUCUCGUGAGACUUUUUGCAUGUACCUUAUGAAUAAGGACCGGCUAAUUCCGUG